GCCCCCUUAGCUCAGGGGAUAGAGUGUCUGCCUCCGGAGCAGAAGGCCGCAGGUUCGAAUCCUGCAGGGGGCACCA
rnacentral:tRNA from 1 species